rnacentral:rRNA from 1 species
CGAAGGGGGGACGGAGAAGGCUAUGUUGGCCGGGCGACGGUUGUCCCGGUUUAAGCGUGUAGGUGUGUGUUCCAGGUAAAUCCGGUUCACUUUAACACUGAGGCGUGAUGACGAGGCACUACGGUGCUGAAGCAACAAAUGCCCUGCUUCCAGGAAAAGCCUCUAAGCAUCAGGUAACAUCAAAUCGUACCCCAAACCGACACAGGUGGUCAGGUAGAGAAUACCAAGGCGCUUGAGAGAACUCGGGUGAAGGAACUAGGCAAAAUGGUGCCGUAACUUCGGGAGAAGGCACGCUGACACGUAGGUGAAGUGAUUUACUCAUGGAGCUGAAGUCAGUCGAAGAUACCAGCUGGCUGCAACUGUUUAUUAAAAACACAGCACUGUGCAAACACGAAAGUGGACGUAUACGGUGUGACGCCUGCCCGGUGCCGGAAGGUUAAUUGAUGGGGUCAGCGCAAGCGAAGCUCCUGAUCGAAGCCCCGGUAAACGGCGGCCGUAACUAUAACGGUCCUAAGGUAGCGAAAUUCCUUGUCGGGUAAGUUCCGACCUGCACGAAUGGCGUAAUGAUGGCCAGGCUGUCUCCACCCGAGACUCAGUGAAAUUGAACUCGCUGUGAAGAUGCAGUGUACCCGCGGCAAGACGGAAAGACCCCGUGAACCUUUACUAUAGCUUGACACUGAACAUUGAGCCUUGAUGUGUAGGAUAGGUGGGAGGCUUUGAAGUGUGGACGCCAGUCUGCAUGGAGCCGGCCUUGAAAUACCACCCUUUAAUGUUUGAUGUUCUAACGUGGACCCGUGAUCCGGGUUGCGGACAGUGUCUGGUGGGUAGUUUGACUGGGGCGGUCUCCUCCUAAAGAGUAACGGAGGAGCACGAAGGUUGGCUAAUCCUGGUCGGACAUCAGGAGGUUAGUGCAAUGGCAUAAGCCAGCUUGACUGCGAGCGUGACGGCGCGAGCAGGUGCGAAAGCAGGUCAUAGUGAUCCGGUGGUUCUGAAUGGAAGGGCCAUCGCUCAACGGAUAAAAGGUACUCCGGGGAUAACAGGCUGAUACCGCCCAAGAGUUCAUAUCGACGGCGGUGUUUGGCACCUCGAUGUCGGCUCAUCACAUCCUGGGGCUGAAGUAGGUCCCAAGGGUAUGGCUGUUCGCCAUUUAAAGUGGUACGCGAGCUGGGUUUAGAACGUCGUGAGACAGUUCGGUCCCUAUCUGCCGUGGGCGCUGGAGAACUGAGGGGGGCUGCUCCUAGUACGAGAGGACCGGAGUGGACGCAUCACUGGUGUUCGGGUUGUCAUGCCAAUGGCACUGCCCGGUAGCUAAAUGCGGAAGAGAUAAGUGCUGAAAGCAUCUAAGCACGAAACUUGCCCCGAGAUGAGUUCUCCCUGAGACUUUAGGUCUCCUGAAGGAACGUUGAAGACGACGACGUUGAUAGGCCGGGUGUGUAAGCGCAGCGAUGCGUUGAGCUAACCGGUACUAAUGAACCGUGAGGCUUAACCUUACA